rnacentral:ncRNA from 1 species
UGCCACAACGGCUUCCUGGCGUGGCACCAGCUUUGGACGUAAUGGAGCA